UACGUAGGGUGCAAGCGUUGUCCGGAAUUAUUGGGCGUAAAGAGCUUGUAGGCGGUUUGUCGCGUCUGCCGUGAAAAUCCGAGGCUCAACCUCGGACUUGCGGUGGGUACGGGCAGACUAGAGUGUGGUAGGGGAGACUGGAAUUCCUGGUGUAGCGGUGAAAUGCGCAGAUAUCAGGAGGAACACCGAUGGCGAAGGCAGGUCUCUGGGCCACUACUGACGCUGAGAAGCGAAAGCAUGGGGAGCGAACAGG
rnacentral:rRNA from 1 species